rnacentral:tRNA from 1 species
AGGGAAAUAGCUCAGUGGUAGAGUGUGUGCUUAGCAUGCACGAGAUCCGGGGGAUCAAUCCCCAGUAUCUCUA